rnacentral:rRNA from 1 species
CCUACGGGAGGCAGCAGUGAGGAAUAUUGGUCAAUGGGCGAAAGCCUGAACCAGCCAAGUCGCGUGAAGGAUGAAGGAUCUAUGGUUUGUAAACCUCUUUUAUAUGGGAAUAAAGUAUGGUACGUGUUGCAUGAUGUCUGUACCAUAUGAAUAAGCAUCGGCUAACUCCGUGCCAGCAGCCGCGGUAAUACGGAGGAUGCGAGCGUUAUCCGGAUUUAUUGGGUGUAAAGGGUGCGUAGGGGGGUUAUUAAGUUAGUUGUGAAACCUUGGGGCUCAACCAUUGAUUUGCCGUUGAAACUGGUUGACUUGAGUUCAGACGAGGUAGGCGGAAUACGUGGUGUAGCGGUGAAAUGCGUAGAUAUAACGUAGAACUCCGAUAGCGAAGGCAGCUUACUAGACUAUGACUGACGCUGAAGCACGAAAGCGUGGGGAGCGAACAGGAUUAGAUACCCGAGUAGUC